rnacentral:rRNA from 1 species
GACGAACGCUGGCGGCGUGCUUAACACAUGCAAGUCGAACGGAAAGGCCCUGCUUGCAUGGUACUCGAGUGGCGAACGGGUGAGUAACACGUGGGUGAUCUGCCCUGCACUUCGUGAUAAGCCUGGUCAACUGGAUCUUAUACCUGAUAGGACCCAUUUUUAAUGUGAUGGUUGGAAAGUUUUUUCGGUGUAGGGUGAGCUAGCGGCCUAUCAGCUGGUUUGUUGGUUAAUGGCCUACCCAGGCGGCGACGGGUAGCCGGACUGGGAGUGUGGACGGCGAUACUGGGGCUGAGGGAAGGCACAAACGCCUACGGGAGGCAGAUGUGGGGAAUAUUGAACAAUGCGCGAAAGACUGAUGAAGUGAGGCUGCGGGGGGUAAGACGGCUUUGGGGUAGUAGACACGAUUCACUAGGGACGAAGCGUUUUGUGACGGUACCUAGAUAAGAAGCACCGGCUAACUACGUG